CAUGUACUCCCUCCGUCCGGAAAUAUUUGUCAUCAAAAUGGAUAAAAAAGGAUGUAUCUAGAACUAAAAUACACCUCCUUUUAUUCAUCUUGAUGACAAGUAUUUUCGGACGAAGGGAGUAGCAA
rfam:Triticum aestivum genome assembly, contig: Triticum_aestivum_CS42_TGACv1_scaffold_375076_5AL